GAUGAACGCUGGCGGCGCAUUUAAGACAUGCAAGUCGAACGAAAAAUUCUCACCGAAUGAAGAUUGAAGAUUUAUCAGAUGUUGGAUUUCACCGAGAAUUUUUAGUGGCGGACGGGUGAGUAAUACGUAGAUAAUCUGCCUUUUAGAGGGAAAUAACAAGAGGAAACUUUUGCUAAUGUCCCAUAAGACCACACUAUGGCAUCUUAGAGUGAUCAAAGGAGUAAUCCGCUAAAAGAUGAGUCUACGGCUGAUUAGCCAGUUGGCGGGGUAAGAGCCCACCAAAGCUGUGAUCAGUAGCCGAGCUGAGAGGCUGGCCGGCCACAUUGGGACUGAGACACGGCCCAG
rnacentral:rRNA from 1 species